UGUGGCUCAGUGGUAGAGCGCUUGCCUAGCAUGUGUGAGGCACUGGGUUCAAUUCUCAGCA
rnacentral:tRNA from 1 species